AGUUUUUUUGAUAUUACUCUCCCCCUCCAGUUGAAUUGCUCAAACUCUCAGCCAUCUUCCAGACUUGUACAUUGAGCAACUUUUUAGUAUCGUUUGCGUAACCUAGUUAGAGGAUUAAAGGUUUGGCUGGUGUGUGUGCUCUUGUUUUUGUGUAGUCCUUGCUGUAUUGCAGGCUGUCUGGGAGUUAUACACCGCUUGAUGAGGUAACAGAACCGUGAGGCAUGUCCGAACAUGGUGUCUGAGGAACCAUCACAAAGACACCUGCACUGUUACACCAGAGCUACACCUGCCAUGUGAGGGGUGGCAGAGGAGAUUAGGUGUUGCCAAGGCCUCAACACAGCGACAUGCUCAAGUCCACGCUGAAUUAGCCCUUCAAGCUGUUCUCAACACCACGCUAUCAGCUCCUUCCUAUCCCUCUCUCAGCAGCACACAGAAACCUGAGGAACUACAGCGCUGAGGGGUCAUAAGAAGAAUUUGGGUCAGAGCUCAUUUUGACACGGCACUCACCCUAGCAGGUGGGCAUCUUUUAUGAAAGCAACACAAUAAACUCAACUCUGCUCUGCCUUCGGAUUUCACAGAGAUCAGAUAUGGAUUAGGCUUGCAGAUCCAGGUGGUUCUGAGGCUCUAGCAUUAACCAACUAGGAUGAACUGGCCUGAGUGUGUACUGUUGUCAUUGGCUACAUGCUGUCAUCAUGCUGGAUUGUUACAGUAUGUUGUUACUGUGUGCUGUUGUUGUCUGGUGGUACAGUGUCGUGAAAAGGAAUUUCUCCUUGGGGACAUAAAGUCUAAAUUGAAGGAUUAGUCAACAGCAACCCAACAUAAAGAACAUGACAUUGAAAGGGCAGAGGAAGACAGGGACCUGACUCACUAGGGCAGUGGUUCUCAAAUUGGGGUUGGGCCCCCCUGGGGGAGCGUAGAACCACUUCAGGGGGGUCGUGGAUGUUGAGCGGACCAUAACUUAAUGCAUGAAUGUGAUUCAUGUUGGGACAUAAACAACAAGUGCUCUGAUGAUAGCAAGGGGGGCUGACAGAAAGAGUUUGAGAACCACUGCACUGAGAUUGUAUUUUUACAGCACCCUUUCUCCAGGACGACUUCCGCUCUCCUGAUUAGCUUCACUCAUCUGAUUCUCAUGGCUUCCUGUGGAGAAAGACUGGCCCACGUCCCUCCUUAUUCUUCAUGGGACUGCGACAUGAGAGUUUCCUUGAUGGCUACACUCAUUCUUCGAUUUGCUCGAUCAGUCCAGAAUGGGAACCACAAAAAGCUUCAGCUAUUAGGCUCACUGAUGCUGGGUGACAGCCGUGAUAUAGACUCAGGGACUGUGCGGGUGGGAGGGGAGAGGCAGGAGCGCCUUUCUUUGUUAAUUCCCAAGUUCUCUGGCUCGGGGGAGAUCAGCUCCUUCUAUCUACCCACAGACUCUGGCAUCAUUCCUGUACAAUAAUUUGGCUCUAAGUCUCUUGAAUGUAGCAGGAGAACAUUUAAACAUUUGGCUAUCCAAAAAAUAUUGAUUUCAUAUAGGCCGUGCCGAUUUUGGUUUCUUGGGAACAAAAUAAAAACAGAUUUUUAUGGAGUUCUGA